GAAAUGGAUGAAAUGAAAGAGCUACUACCAUUUAUUGAAUGUUGAAUAUGUGCUAAUCACUGGACAAGGAGGCUUGUGCCUUUGUGAUUAGCACAUACAAGGAUCAUAUAAAUGUAAUCAUCUCAAUUCCUCUGUGAAGUACGUCUUUUUACCUCCAGAAGGACUUAAGAUUCAGAGAGGGUAAGAGGCUUGCCCAAAGACCGCAGCUACCAGGUGACAGAUCAGAAUUCAAAUGCAGGACGACGGCAAGAUGCUUACUAGCAGAUCAUUUUAAACGAGCAUGCCUGGCACGCAGUAAGCACUCCGUAAGUAGUGUCGUCUGCUACCACUGGUGUUCUUAGAAAGGCUCUGGCCCAACCCUAUCCUAGAAUCAUCACUCCAUUGCAGGCUUGACACUGGAACCAACUCUUUGCUCUGGAAUUAGGUCAAAUCAUUGCUGGCUUCAGGCCCUUCUCCAUUAAAAAACGUACCCAUGGAGAUAAUGAAUGCACUGAAUUUCUACCAGUCAUUACGCCUUGGUGUCAAUCAGAAGGAAUGUCCCAUAGGAAGGCUAGGACUGGGCAUUCCUCUCUACCUAUCACAUGAUUCGAUGAGCACAGGGUGCUGUGGUUUGAUGUAUAGAGUCUGCCUUUCUUAAAGGAGCCCUGAUUGUGGCCUGGAGGGGCCUAUGUGACAUGAUUCCCGUGAGGCCAGCCUAGCAGAGGGCAGGAUGGCUAUCUCUCUACUGUGGCUACAGCUGCCUUUGGAGCUUUCUCAGGAAUCCCGGGUGUCCACUGAUUGAACAAAUGUACACAAACACAGCAGAGCCUGCUCCUGCCAGAAACAGACUCAAAGCUACAGCGACCAGUCCCAGAAAAGUUCCCCCAGGCCAGCUCAACUCCCACCAGCAGGGGUCACACCUGAGCAGCCAGAAGGGUGAGGGGCCCUGAUAGUCUGGCCUACCAACCAGCAAACCUUUGUAUGCUGCGGGUGAGGUCCAUACUCAGUCAGCACAUGGAAGGGGAACUGGAGGAGAACAUUAAGCUGAGAGGAGGUCCUGGUGGGCUGGGGCCAACUCCCCAGGAGCAGAGGAAGCAGCCAGCAGCCUGGAUGGGCAGAGCUGGGCCCAGAGGGACUGAAGCUGCUACUAGCAUGGCACGGUCCUGGGAGCUUUGAGGACACCCACAGAGACAGACGGUGCACACCGAGGGUUCCGCUGCUCAGGAACAGGCAUGGAGAAGAAAGUUGCACUUAGAAGCCCAACAGGAGUUUUGCAAGACAAAAGUUUAAUGAAAGGAGAGAAGAGCACAGAAACUGAAGUUGACCACCUGCACUCCUCCUUGGCCAACCUCGACAGAAAUCUAGAAUUCAAGGAACCAUUGCUGUGAUCCAUCAAGUCAGCCCCAGGAAAGAGAGCAGAGCUGAGAGGGCUGGAGAGAGAAUCUGGAGGAGCAAACGGAAAAUACCUGACUGGGUACCAACAUCCAGGAGAGGAUCCCUGUGUGUCAAGGAUCCUCAGAGGGACAACUAAUGCAUAACAACAGAUAAUGGGUCCACACUCCUUUCUGCCUCCUCCUGAUCGCAAAACCCACUACACACAUGUAAAUGCACCACACACACACAUGCCCACUACACACAGAUAUAUAUAUAUAGAUACACAUCCACACACAUAGGGAUACACAUACAUAGGGAUACACAUACACACAUACAUACAUGCACACAUUGCACAUGUGCACAAUGCAACAUACAUGCAUGUACACAUAUAAGCACACAUACAUAUGUGAACACAUGCACACACACAUACCCACACUUAAUCAUAGUCUGCACAUGGUAUCACUGCACACUGCUCAGGCUCCUCCAGAUCAGUCAGAAAUUAUAGGAGAUAAAACCAACAGAAUUUAAACAAAGACAAGAAAGACCUGGAAUGAUGUGCAGACUUGUCUAAUUAUUGCUAUUUUUAGAACUCAUACUGCAAGUGGUAGAAAAGAAUGGGGGUGGGGGCUGCUGACCAAAGAGAUUGCUUCAUUAUUGGAAACAGAAGAUAAGUAGGCUGAAGAGGGUGAUUGGAAAGUUGAGAACAGGGAGGCAGUUCUUCCCCUCUCCCCUCCACCCCCAUGUCUCCCUCUCCCAUUCCAGGAGCUGAGCACUAGGAGAAAGAAGGGCACAUGAGACCAGAUGAUGGAAGCUGACCUGGCUUUCCACUCUGGCUACAGACUUUCUGGAUGUGUGACCUCGAAUAUGUUCCUGAGGGCCACCUCUAGCCUAUAAGGUGUCUUUGUGCAAAUAGAAGACACCCCUUUGCACAAGUAAAUAAGAGAAUAUUCUGGUUGGAUGCAGCAUCUCAUAGUUCCUGAUCUGGCAAACAGUGCAUGGCUGAAUUUCCACCCUCCCAACAGUACAUUUGUGCAGCAUCCCAGCUACCCAACCACAUGCAGCAAGCAGGUGUCACUUCACAUCUGUAGACCCCUGCUUGUCCUCUCCAUAAGUGAAGAUAAUAUCUGCAAAACAGGGAGAUCCAACACAGGAGACAAAAUGCAAGGCGAGAACCAAUAAUUAAAAAAAAGAAAAAGUCAUUCAAGGUCUUAGGGUGCAGGCCACCCAGGACAAAGACUGGGAGGAGCAUGGGUUCUCUGCCACAUGUGAGGGGGCAGUGAAGACCAAUUCUGAUUGAUAUCUUAGAGUAGGAAGUUGGAGGAUUUAGGGAUACCCAGUGACUGAAUUCUAGGUUACAUCAUCGCUAUCAUUAAUUUCUUGACAUAGAAGCUGACCAGCUCUCAGCAUUUCGUAAUCAUUGCAGAGUGCAGGCUAGGGGCUCUGGGGCUCCAGCCCUGCCAGUCUGUAAUUGAUGUAGGUUAACUCUAUUCUCCAGUUUCCUCAUCUGUAGAAUCAGGUAACUGAUGUACUUCUUUCACAGAGGAAUUACAAAAAUAAAACAGAAUAAUAUCUGUGAAA
rnacentral:lncRNA from 1 species